rnacentral:rRNA from 1 species
GGCGAACGGGUGAGUAACACGUGGGUGAUCUGCCCUGCACUUCGGGAUAAGCCUGGGAAACUGGGUCUAAUACCGGAUAGGAGCCAUUUUUAGUGUGAUGGUUGGAAAGUUUUUCGGUGCAGGAUGAGCUCGCGGCCUAUCAGCUUGUUGGUGGGGUAAUGGCCUACCAAGGCGGCGACGGGUAGCCGGCCUGAGAGGGUGACCGGCCACAUUGGGACUGAGAUACGGCCCAG